AUAUAUUUUGUUUAUAUAUUUUAACGUAUAUUAAUACAUUUAAAUAUAAUUUACGGAUUUCAGAAAUGAAUGUGUAAUUAAAAUAUAAUUAUUUUAUUUCAUUUUGAAUAAUUUUAAUGAUUUAUGAAAUCAAAAUGUAUUUUUGAAUUUUACGUUAAAACGAAUUCGAAUUUCGAAAUCACGUUCGAUUGAAAUUAGCAAGCAACCCUAACCAUUUCGGAUUCAAUAACCUAAACCCUACUCCUAGCCCAAUUGGGUAAAAGCCCAAACCAAUAAAAAUACUCCCUCCCCUUUCCUAAUGCACGUGAACCCAAAGAAACACAAAAAAAAAAAAAAAAACCUCCUCUUGCUCCUUCACUGUUCACGUAACAAGCACCAAACCCUCAACACCCUCCUCCUUGCUGCCGCUGCUCACGCCGCCGGACCCACCAGCACGUCACCGGCAUCCCGUCGCCACUGCACCACCACCACGCUGAGCGCUCGUGGUUCGGCAAUAACCGCCGUCCUCGUCGUCCACCCUUGCACGCAACACCACCUCGCCGCACCGCCGCGUGCCGCCCAGCCUUCCUCGCCGCACCGCCGCGUGCCGCCCAGCCUUCCUCGUCGCCGGCAGUUCUCCCCCUUCCCUUAUUCGGCGGAGAAUUCUCUUUAGGCGACUUUUGAAAGUGUUAAAGUGGCCUAUCAGUUUGUUUACACAAGUCUCUAAGGAUCAAUAAGCAUUGCCCAUCUACAGGUUUGAAGAUGAUGCAUCAUUGGGAUCGGGAUUAGAGAGCUUGUAGUUCUAUUUGUUUAAUUAAGUGAUUCAAUUUGUUAACUUGAAUUUGAAACUUGUCGUACUAUUCGUAUUUCCUUAUUUCAGUUAAUUGUUUUGGACCUAAUAUGUAAUAGAUUAAUUAUGAACCCAAAAGUUAGUUUUAUGUUUUCCGCUGCAAAAUUCUGAAUAAGCCGUACGUUUUUACACGGGCGAUAAUACUUUGAUAAUUCCCUACAGUUAUAUUUAAAAAGAGGUUAUUUUAGAAAAUGGGAAUUGUCGGGGUGUUACAAAGUGGUAUUUUUG